UUUCUCUUUAGGUGCACUUUUUGCUGAAUUUGUUUUGUUUUCGCUUUCUUCUACCUUAUAGUCAUUUGGUCGUAGGUCGGGACCAAUGUCCCUCACCCAGCUUGCAGCAUAUAACCUAGAAGCCUCCUUCAACACCAAGAAUCGUUCAUGCCAUGUAAGCUUCCGACGCUUCUUUACAUGCGGAGGAUCUGGCAAGGACGAAGGAAAUGCAAUUUCCUUCAAAUCAUACCGAAUAUAAUCAUAAACCUUCCUCAAAACGAUCCUCGCCUUCAUUCCUGCAAGAGAUUUGCUCCUAACAGUAACGGCGACGGGAGUCGGGAGUCUGAUUCUGAACGGCGACGGCAACGGGAGUCGGGAAUCUGGAAGUCGAUCGACGGCGCGGAUCUGAAAACGGCGGAACAGUCGAUUCUGGAAGUCGAAGUGUCGAACAGUCGAAAUUAAACGGCGGAACGGCGUGGAAAUGGAAACGGCGGCUCAAAUCCAGAUCUGUAAGUCGAACACGAAGUCGAAGUCGAACUGCAGCGUGCCGGCGACUCCGCGAGGCGCGAGGUUGCUGUGGACUGUGGUGUUGCUAUCGUGUCGUCUGCUGCGUGCUGCUUGCCGUCGGAGGCUCGUCGUGGUCGGAAGUCGAACGACUGGUUGGUGUUG
rnacentral:misc_RNA from 1 species